AAAUACUCAGUUGGUUCAGAGCAUCCCGAUGUUUUAUCGGGAGGGUCACUGGUUCGAAUCCAGUAGUUCCCA
rnacentral:tRNA from 1 species